rnacentral:rRNA from 1 species
CCUACGGGGAGCAGCAGUAGGGAAUCUUUCACAAUGGGCGAAAGCCUGAUGGAGCAACGCCGCGUGCAGGAUGAAGGCCUUCGGGUUGUAAACUGCUUUUAUAAGCGAGAAAUAUGAUGGUAACUUAUGAAUAAGGAUCGGCUAACUACGUGCCAGCAGCCGCGGUCAUACGUAGGAUCCGAGCAUUAUCCGGAGUGACUGGGUGUAAAGAGUUGCGUAGGUGGCAUAAUAAGUAGCUAGUGAAAUCUGGUGGCUCAACCAUUCAGACUAUUAGCUAAACUGUUAAGCUCGAGACCGUUAGGGGUAACUGGAAUUUCUAGUGUAGGAGUGAAAUCCGUAGAUAUUAGAAGGAACACCAAUAGCGUAGGCAGGUUGCUGGGACGGGUCUGACACUAAGGCACGAAAGCGUAGGGAGCAAACGGGAUUAGAUACCCGUGUAGUC